AACGAACGCUGGCGGCAUGCCUAACACAUGCAAGUCGAACGAGACCUUCGGGUCUAGUGGCGCACGGGUGCGUAACGCGUGGGAACCUGCCCUUAGGUUUGGAAUAACUCCCCGAAAGGGGUGCUAAUACCGGAUAAUGUCUUCGGACCAAAGAUUUAUCGCCUUUGGAUGGGCCCGCGUUGGAUUAGCUAGUUGGUAGGGUAAAAGCCUACCAAGGCGACGAUCCAUAGCUGGUCAGAGAGGAUGAUCAGCCACACUGGGACUGAGACACGGCCCAGACUCCUACGGGAGGCGGCAGUGGGGAAUAUUGGACAAUGGGCGAAAGCCUGAUCCAGCAAUGCCGCGUGAGUGAUGAAGGCCUUAGGGUUGUAAAGCUCGUUUACACGGGAUGAUAAUGACAGUACCGGGAGAAUAAGCACCGGCUAACUCCGUG
rnacentral:rRNA from 1 species